rnacentral:rRNA from 1 species
GAUGAACGCUGGCGGCGUGCCUAAUACAUGCAAGUCGAGCGAACAGACGAGGAGCUUGCUCCUCUGACGUUAGCGGCGGACGGGUGAGUAACACGUGGAUAACCUACCUAUAAGACUGGGAUAACUUCGGGAAACCGGAGCUAAUACCGGAUAAUAUAUUGAACCGCAUGGUUCAAUAGUGAAAGACGGUUUUGCUGUCACUUAUAGAUGGAUCCGCGCCGCAUUAGCUAGUUGGUAAGGUAACGGCUUACCAAGGCAACGAUGCGUAGCCGACCUGAGAGGGUGAUCGGCCACACGGGAACGGAGACACGGUCCAGACGCCUACGGGAGGCAGCAGUAGGGAAUCGUCCGCAAUGGGCGAAAGCCUGACGGAGCAACGCCGCGUGAGUGAUGAAGGUCUUCGGAUCGUAAAACUCUGUUAUUAGGGAAGAACAAAUGUGUAAGUAACUAUGCACGUCUUGACGGUACCUAAUCAGAAAGCCACGGCUAACUACGUG